UACGUAGGGUGCGAGCGUUAAUCGGAAUUACUGGGCGUAAAGCGUGCGCAGGCGGUUUUGUAAGCCGGAUGUGAAAUCCCCGGGCUUAACCUGGGAAUGGCAUUCGGGACUGCAAGGCUGGAGUGCGGCAGAGGAGACUGGAAUUCCUGGUGUAGCAGUGAAAUGCGUAGAUAUCCGGAGGAACACCGGUGGCGAAGGCGGCUUCCUGGACCGACACUGACGCUGAGGCGCGAAAGCUAGGGGAGCAAACGGG
rnacentral:rRNA from 1 species